AUGGUGGCGGCCACGUACGGCAGCGGGCGAGUCGUCUUGCUGCUGUUCGGGCGCACCGGCUGGGUCGAUGUAGCUCGUCGGCCUGGCGACGACGACUUCACCCCACGCAGUGGCAAAGGAAAGAAGCGGCAGCCGCAGCGGGAACCAGGUGCUCAAGGCCCACUGCCGCGGGAUGCCGUGGAAGGGAGCCGCGGCAGCCGCGCGAGGGCGCAUCUACGUCGCCGGCGGUCAUGUAGCGGAGGUUGUCCAUCUCGACGCACUCGACGGCUACAGGGAAGACGGCUACGAGAGCGCCCGAUAGGAAGGGGGCGGCGAGCAGCUUUGGCCAGGCCGCGGCAGCGGUAUUUGGGCGCGCGGGUACACCGCCGGCGACGACGUUAG
rnacentral:rRNA from 1 species